UACCAGCACCCCGAGUGGUCGGGACGAUUAUUGGGCCUAAAGCAUCCGUAGCCGGCCUUACAAGUCCCCCGUUAAAUCCAACUGCUUAACAGAUGGGCUGCGGAGGAUACUAUAAGACUAGGAGGCAGGAGAGGCAAGCGGUACUCAGUGGGUAGGGGUAAAAUCCAUUGAUCCAUUGAAGACCACCAGUGGCGAAGGCGGCUUGCCAGAAUGCGCUCGACGGUGAGGGAUGAAAGCUGGGGGAGCAAACCGG
rnacentral:rRNA from 1 species